GUUAUGCUGUGGCAUACGAAUUCACAUCAAUGUGUUGACCGACUGAAUAUUUGUAUUUAGGGAAACAGUAGUCUUCUAACAGUAUGCAAGCCGUCACACGCGGAAGCAGCUAAGUUAGAGAGAGUUGCCCACCUGCUAGUGUAAUUGCGGGUUCAAUACAAAUCGUGAAUCACGGUGCCAAUACAGCUUAUCG
rnacentral:other from 2 species